GACGAACGCUGGCGGCGUGCUUAACACAUGCAAGUCGAACGGAAAGGCCCUGCUUUUGUGGGGUGCUCGAGUGGCGAACGGGUGAGUAACACGUGAGUAACCUGCCCUUGACUUUGGGAUAACUUCAGGAAACUGGGGCUAAUACCGGAUAGGAGCUCCUGCUGCAUGGUGGGGGUUGGAAAGUUUCGGCGGUUGGGGAUGGACUCGCGGCUUAUCAGCUUGUUGGUGAGGUAGUGGCUUACCAAGGCUUUGACGGGUAGCCGGCCUGAGAGGGUGACCGGCCACAUUGGGACUGAGAUACGGCCCAGACUCCUACGGGAGGCAGCAGUGGGGAAUAUUGCACAAUGGGCGGAAGCCUGAUGCAGCAACGCCGCGUGCGGGAUGACGGCCUUCGGGUUGUAAACCGCUUUCGCCUGUGACGAAGCGUGAGUGACGGUAAUGGGUAAAGAAGCACCGGCUAACUACGUG
rnacentral:rRNA from 1 species